GAUGAACGCUGGCGGCGUGCCUAACACAUGCAAGUCGAGCGAUCUUCUUCGGAAGAGAGCGGCGGACGGGUGAGUAACGCGUGGGUAACCUGCCCUGUACACACGGAUAACAUACCGAAAGGUAUGCUAAUACGGGAUAAUAUGCUUUUAUCGCAUGGUAGAAGUAUCAAAGCUCCGGCGGUACAGGAUGGACCCGCGUCUGAUUAGCUAGUUGGUAAGGUAAUGGCUUACCAAGGCGACGAUCAGUAGCCGACCUGAGAGGGUGAUCGGCCACAUUGGAACUGAGACACGGUCCAAACGCCUACGGGAGGCAGCAGUGGGGAAUAUUGCACAAUGGGCGAAAGCCUGAUGCAGCAACGCCGCGUGAGCGAUGAAGGCCUUCGGGUCGUAAAGCUCUGUCCUCAAGGAAGAUAAUGACGGUACUUGAGGAGGAAGCCCCGGCUAACUACGUGCCAGCCGCCGCCGUAAUAC
rnacentral:rRNA from 1 species